rnacentral:rRNA from 1 species
AUUGAACGCUGGCGGCAGGCCUAACACAUGCAAGUCGAGCGCGAAAGGUCUUCGGACUGAGUAGAGCGGCGGACGGGUGAGUAACGCGUAGGAAUCUACCUAGUAGUGGGGGACAACCUGUGGAAACGCAGGCUAAUACCGCAUACGCCCUACGGGGGAAAGCGGGGGAUCUUCGGACCUCGUGCUAUUAGAUGAGCCUGCGUAAGAUUAGCUAGUUGGUGAGGUAAAGGCUCACCAAGGCGACGAUCUUUAGCUGGUCUGAGAGGAUGAUCAGUCACACUGGAGCUGAGACACGGUCCAGACUCCUACGGGAGGCAGCAGUGGGGAAUAUUGCACAAUGGGGGAAACCCUGAUGCAGCCAUGCCGCGUGUGUGAAGAAGGCUCUAGGGUUGUAAAGCACUUUCAGCGGGGAGGAAAGGUUGUAAUUUAAUAGAUUGCAGCUGUGACGUUACCCGCAGAAGAAGCACCGGCUAACUCCGUGCCAGCAGCCGCGGUAAUACGGAGGGUGCAAGCGUUAAUCGGAAUUACUGGGCGUAAAGCGCGCGUAGGCGGAUGCUUGAGUCGGAUGUGAAAGCCCCGGGCUCAACCUGGGAACUGCAU